UGAGUGAGUAGCAGCACUCGGUUGGCAACGUCGUGGAGUGGAGGGUAGAAAUGGCUGGAAAUUUGUAGAGAAAAGGAAUUGUAAAGAGAGUUUUACGUUUGAAGAAUGAGUGAGAGAGACAUCACAGCAUUGAAUAGCCAGCUAUGGAGCGCAGCGAGGAGCAAGUCACGUGAUGAGGUUGAACGUCUUUUGGAUCAAGGCGCUGAAGUAGAUGCGUGUGAUAUAAUUGGAUGGACUGUACUGAUGGAAGCUUGUAUUGAU